AUAAUGAUACUUCCGUCCAGUCACAGCCCUGCACGCGGGUGCGGGAACACGCAAUGAGGGCGGCUCGGAGAGACCCUCGGAGGGGAACAAUCCCAUGA
rnacentral:ncRNA from 1 species